rnacentral:rRNA from 1 species
CCCUUAGACACUCUAGGCGGCACGCGCGCUACAAUGGGUGGAAGAACGUGUUACUGCCUCCGAAAGGAGGGGUGAAUCACGAAUUCUUGCCCGUGAAUGGGAUAGUUUGUUGCAAUUUUCGGACUUGAACUAGGAAUCCCUUGUAAACAUGCUCAAGAAUAGCGUGUUGAAUACGUCCCUGCCGUUUGUACACACCGCCCGUCGUUUCUUCCGACUGAUACUCAUUGUGAGUUGCAAGGGCCCUUUAUUGGGAAAUUGCUGCAAAUGCUUUGUAUUGGAGGAAGAAAAAGUCGUAACA